rnacentral:rRNA from 1 species
UACGGGGGGGGCAAGCGUUGUUCGGAAUUACUGGGCGUAAAGGGCUCGUAGGUGGCCAACUAAGUCAGACGUGAAAUCCCUCAGCUUAACUGGGGAACUGCGUCUGAUACUGGAUGGCUUGAGUUUGGGAGGGGGAUGCGGAAUUCCAGGUGUAGCGGUGAAAUGCGUAGAUAUCUGGAGGAACACCGGUGGCGAAGGCGGCAUCCUGGACCGAUACUGACGCUGAGGAGCGAAAGCCAGGGGAGCAAACGGG